rnacentral:rRNA from 1 species
AGUGAACGCUGGCGGUAGGCCUAACACAUGCAAGUCGAACGGCAGCACAGUAAGAGCUUGCUCUUACGGGUGGCGAGUGGCGGACGGGUGAGGAAUACAUCGGAAUCUACUUUUUCGUGGGGGAUAACGUAAGGAAACUUACGCUAAUACCGCAUACGACCUACGGGUGAAAGCAGGGGAUCUUCGGACCUUGCGCGAUUGAAUGAGCCGAUGUCGGAUUAGCUAGUUGGCGGGGUAAAGGCCCACCAAGGCGACGAUCCGUAGCUGGUCUGAGAGGAUGAUCAGCCACACUGGAACUGAGACACGGUCCAGACUCCUACGGGAGGCAGCAGUGGGGAAUAUUGGACAAUGGGCGCAAGCCUGAUCCAGCCAUACCGCGUGGGUGAAGAAGGCCUUCGGGUUGUAAAGCCCUUUUGUUGGGAAAGAAAAGCAGCAGGUUAAUACCCCGCUGUUCUGACGGUACCCAAAGAAUAAGCACCGGCUAACUUCGU